rnacentral:lncRNA from 1 species
GGUGAUUCCCCGCAGAGGAUUUCGUGUUCCAGUUUAAGGGCAUGUGCUACUUCACCAACGGGACGGAGCGCGUGCGUCUUGUGACCAGAUACAUCUAUAACCGAGAGGAGUACGCGCGCUUCGACAGCGACGUGGGGGUGUACCGCGCGGUGACGCCGCAGGGGCGGCCUGAUGCCGAGUACUGGAACAGCCAGAAGGAAGUCCUGGAGGGGACCCGGGCGGAGUUGGACACGGUGUGCAGACACAACUACGAGGUGGCGUUCCGCGGGAUCUUGCAGAGGAG